AUGGCGAACCGCACGGACCCCCUGGCCCGGAGCAUCCACGGCACCAACCCACAGAACCUGGUGGAGAAGAUCGUGCGGGCUAAGAUCUACCAGAGCAACUACUGGAAGGAGCAGUGCUUCGGCCUCACGGCGGAGACCCUCGUCGACAAGGCCAUGGAGCUCGACCACACCGGCGGCACCCACGGCGGCAACCGCAGGCCGACCCCCUUCCUCUGCCUCGCCCUCAAGAUGCUCCAGAUCCAGCCCGACAAGGAAAUCGUCGUCGAGUUCAUCAAGAACGAGGACUACAAGUAUGUCCGGGUUCUUGGGGCCUUCUACCUGCGCCUCACUGGCACCGUCGCCGACGUUUACCAGUACCUCGAGCCGCUCUACAACGACUACCGCAAGAUUAGGCAAAAGCUCAGCGAUGGAAAAUUCACGCUGACACACGUUGACGAAUUCAUUGACGAGCUCCUGACCAAGGACUAUAGCUGCGACACUGCCCUCCCCCGCAUUCAGAAAAGAUGGAUCCUUGAAGCUUCUGGAACUCUAGAACCUAGAAGAAGUGCACUUGAAGACGAUUUUGAGGAAGAGGAGGAAGAUAAGGAGGAUGGACAGCCUAUGGACGUAGAUGAGCCUAACACUCAUGAAAAGGACCAUCUUCGUGGAAGAAGCCCCACCAAAGAACGCGACAGGGAAAGGGAGAGGGACAGAGACAGGAAACACGAAAGGCAUCACAGGGACCGAGAUCAUGACAGAGAUCGGGAUCACGGGGACUAUGGAAGAGGCCGGGAAAGAGAUCGAGACAGAGAUAGAGGCCGUGAAAGAGAUAGAGAGAGGGAUAGGGAACGAGACCGUCACCGCAUCAGAGAUGAUGACUACAACCGAGAUCGUGACCGGGAUGGCAGGGAAAGGGAACGCCGGGACAGAGACCGUGGCAGGCACAGGAGCCGCUCAAGGAGCAGAAGCCGGGAUCGGCGUGAAAGAGACCGUGAAGUGGGAGAGCUCCGUAAGAGACGUGGCCGUGGUAGUGCCAGUCCUCCUCGAGGGCGUGCCGAUGAUGGUCCGAGGGAGGAGCCUAAGAAGAGAAAGGAAAAGAAAGAGAAGAAGGGCAGCGGGAAGGGUCCAGAUCCUAAUGAUCCAGAGAUUAUAGAGAUGAACAAGCUGCGCGCAUCGAUAGGGUUGGGACCACUGAAGUAA
rnacentral:rRNA from 1 species